UUGAACGCUGGCGGCAGGCCUAACACAUGCAAGUCGAGCGGUAGCACAGAGAGCUUGCUCUCGGGUGACGAGCGGCGGACGGGUGAGUAAUGUCUGGGAAACUGCCUGAUGGAGGGGGAUAACUACUGGAAACGGUAGCUAAUACCGCAUAACGUCGCAAGACCAAAGUGGGGGACCUUCGGGCCUCAUGCCAUCAGAUGUGCCCAGAUGGGAUUAGCUAGUAGGUGGGGUAACGGCUCACCUAGGCGACGAUCCCUAGCUGGUCUGAGAGGAUGACCAGCCACACUGGAACUGAGACACGGUCCAGACUCCUACGGGAGGCAGCAGUGGGGAAUAUUGCACAAUGGGCGCAAGCCUGAUGCAGCCAUGCCGCGUGUGUGAAGAAGGCCUUCGGGUUGUAAAGCACUUUCAGCGGGGAGGAAGGCGAUAAGGUUAAUAACCUUGUCGAUUGACGUUACCCGCAGAAGAAGCACCGGCUAACUCCGUGCCAGCAGCCGCGGUAAUACGGAGGGUGCAAGCGUUAAUCGGAAUUACUGGGCGUAAAGCGCACGCAGGCGGUUUGUUAAGUCAGAUGUGAAAUCCCCGGGCUCAACCUGGGAACUGCAUUCGAAACUGGCAGGCUAGAGUCUUGUAGAGGGGGGUAGAAUUCCAGGUGUAGCGGUGAAAUGCGUAGAGAUCUGGAGGAAUACCGGUGGCGAAGGCGGCCCCCUGGACAAAGACUGACGCUCAGGUGCGAAAGCGUGGGGAGCAAACAGGAUUAGAUACCCUGGUAGUCCACGCCGUAAACGAUGUCGAUUUGGAGGUUGUGCCCUUGAGGCGUGGCUUCCGGAGCUAACGCGUUAAAUCGACCGCCUGGGGAGUACGGCCGCAAGGUUAAAACUCAAAUGAAUUGACGGGGGCCCGCACAAGCGGUGGAGCAUGUGGUUUAAUUCGAUGCAACGCGAAGAACCUUACCUGGUCUUGACAUCCACAGAACUUUCCAGAGAUGGAUUGGUGCCUUCGGGAACUGUGAGACAGGUGCUGCAUGGCUGUCGUCAGCUCGUGUUGUGAAAUGUUGGGUUAAGUCCCGCAACGAGCGCAACCCUUAUCCUUUGUUGCCAGCGGUUAGGCCGGGAACUCAAAGGAGACUGCCAGUGAUAAACUGGAGGAAGGUGGGGAUGACGUCAAGUCAUCAUGGCCCUUACGACCAGGGCUACACACGUGCUACAAUGGCAUAUACAAAGAGAAGCGACCUCGCGAGAGCAAGCGGACCUCAUAAAGUAUGUCGUAGUCCGGAUUGGAGUCUGCAACUCGACUCCAUGAAGUCGGAAUCGCUAGUAAUCGUAGAUCAGAAUGCUACGGUGAAUACGUUCCCGGGCCUUGUACACACCGCCCGUCACACCAUGGGAGUGGGUUGCAAAAGAAGUAGGUAGCUUAACCUUCGGGAGGGCGCUUACCACUUUGUGAUUCAUGACUGGGGUG
rnacentral:rRNA from 1 species